ACUCCUACGGGAGGCAGCAGUGGGGAAUAUUGCACAAUGGGGGGAAACCCUGAUGCAGCCAUGCCGCGUGUGUGAAGAAGGCCUCGGGUUGUAAAGCACUUUCAGUAGGGAGGAAGGUAGUGUAGUUAACACCUGCAUUAUUUGACGUUACCUACAGAAGAAGCACCGGCUAACUCCGUGCCAGCAGCCGCGGUAAUACGGAGGGUGCGAGCGUUAAUCGGAAUUACUGGGCGUAAAGCGCAUGCAGGCGGCCUGUUAAGUCAGAUGUGAAAGCCCGGGGCUUAACCUCGGAAUUGCAUUUGAAACUGGCAGGCUAGAGUCUUGUAGAGGGGGGUAGAAUUUCAGGUGUAGCGGUGAAAUGCGUAGAGAUCUGAAGGAAUACCAGUGGCGAAGGCGGCCCCCUGGACAAAAGACUGACGCUCAGAUGCGAAAAGCGUGGGGAGCAAACAGGAUUAGAUACCCUGGUAGCACAGAG
rnacentral:rRNA from 1 species